rnacentral:lncRNA from 1 species
AUGGCCAUCAAGACCCAACCAGGAGUCUUAGUCUUUGCUCCAGAGCUCCUCAUCAGGCUGGUUCAGACUUCGGCAGGUCUGCACUACAGUCCUCCCCUUACUGGUAACUCAAAGGAUCUGGAGAUGAGGACCACAUUUGAUAGUUCUCUAUAUCAGCUCCAACUAAGCACAGUGCUUAGGAAAUGCGUCCUACCCAUCUUGUAUCCCUAGGGCCUAACAUGUGGGGAACAGGUAAACAGCAGGUAUGAAAGCUGAGGCUCUGAGAAUUUAAACAACUUGGCCGAGAUCACCCUGCUGUUAAGUGCAAAUUAAAUCCAUGUUUGUUUGACUCUAUUCGUUGUACUAUGUGUUGGAAAUAAACGUGAAUAAAUGGAUGAGUGAAUCUGAGA